rnacentral:rRNA from 1 species
UACGUAGGGAGCAAGCGUUAUCCGGAUUUAUUGGGCGUAAAGGGAACGCAGGCGGUCUUUUAAGUCUGAUGUGAAAGCCUUCGGCUUAACCGGAGUAGUGCAUUGGAAACUGGGAGACUUGAGUGCAGAAGAGGAGAGUGGAACUCCAUGUGUAGCGGUGAAAUGCGUAGAUAUAUGGAAGAACACCAGUGGCGAAAGCGGCUCUCUGGCCUGUAACUGACACUGAGGCUCGAAAGCGUGGGGAGCAAACAGG